rnacentral:rRNA from 1 species
GGGGGAAACCCUGACGCAGCAACGCCGCGUGAGUGAUGAAGGCUUUCGGGUCGUAAAGCUCUGUCAAGUGGGAAGAACCUGCUUUGUGAUAAUACCACGAAGCACUGACGGUACCACUGAAGGAAGCACCGGCUAACUCCGUGCCAGCAGCCGCGGUAAUACGGGGGGUGCUAGCGUUAUUCGGAAUCAUUGGGCGUAAAGGGCGCGUAGGCGGUCUCUUAAGUCAGAUGUGAAAGCCCUCGGCUUAACCGAGGAAGUGCAUUUGAUACUAGGAGACUUGAGUAUGGGAGAGGGAAGCGGAAUUCCUGGUGUAGCGGUGAAAUGCGUAGAUAUCAGGAGGAACACCGGUGGCGAAGGCGGCUUCCUGGACCAAUACUGACGCUGAGGCGCGAAGGCGUGGGGAGCAAACAGGAUUAGAUACCCUGGUAGUCCACGCAGUAAACGGUGAACACUAGGUGUAGCGGGUAUUGACCCCCGCUGUGCCGAAGCUAACGCAUUAAGUGUUCCGCCUGGGAAGUAC